rnacentral:misc_RNA from 1 species
UCUCCGUAGGUGAACCUGCGGAGGGAUCAUUACAGAGUCCAUGCCCUACCGGGUAGAUCUCCCACCCUAUGUUAUUAUUACUUUGUUGCUUUGGCGGGCCGUUAGGCUCCGGCCCGACUACCGGCCCCGGCUGGUAAGCGCCCGCCAGAGGACCCAAAACCCUGAAUAUUAGUGUCGUCUGAGUACUAUAUAAUAGUUAAAACUUUCAACAACGGAUCUCUUGGUUCUG